rnacentral:rRNA from 1 species
ACGGGGUGCAGCAGGCGCGAAAACUUUGCAACGUGCGAAAGCACGACAAGGUUAAUCCGAGUGGUUUCUGCUAAAGGAACCUUUUGUCAGUCCUAGAAACACUAACGAAUAAGGGGUGGGCAAGUUCUGGUGUCAGCCGCCGCGGUAAAACCAGCACCUCAAGUGGUCAGGAUGAUUAUUGGGCCUAAAGCAUCCGUAGCCGGCUCUGUAAGUUUUCGGUUAAAUCUGUACGCUUAACGUACAGGCUGCCGGGAAUACUGCAGAGCUAGGGAGUGGGAGAGGUAGACGGUACUCGGUAGGAAGGGGUAAAAUCCUUUGAUCUAUUGAUGACCACCUGUGGCGAAGGCGGUCUACCAGAACACGUCCGACGGUGAGGGAUGAAAGCUGGGGGAGCAAACCGGAUUAGAUACCCGGGUAGUCCCAGCUGUAAACUAUGCAAACUCAGUGAUGCAUUGGCUUGUGGCCAAUGCAGUGCUGCAGGGAAGCCGUUAAGUUUGCCGCCUGGGAAGU